rnacentral:lncRNA from 1 species
GUUCCGGCUCGUCACGCCCCAGAUAUUGCUUCCGUACAGCGCCUCAAACGGCGUCGCGAUGCCGUCGGUUUCUUUAAACCAGUCGCCUAAGCGCAGCGACGGCGCCAUCAGCACCGGGUCGAACAUCGAGCGCACAAACGGCGCGAGGCUGCGGCGGCCUCCGGCUUCGUCGACGAGCAGGCGGGACGUCGGCGUGAGGCCGUACAAAUCCUCCUCCUCCCCGCCGGCGGCGUCUUCCGACGUCUGCCUCGUGAAGAUGCGGGAGAAAGCGAGCAUGCGCAUGAGGCGGCGGAGCUGCGGAAGUCUGGCGGCUGGGAGAUCGAGCGCGGCGACGAGGUCGGGGACGGAGGUGGGGCCGCCGUGGCGGUGGAUGGCGUCGGGUAUGCCGAGCUCGACGGCGCACUUGAGCGACAUGGAUUUGAGGAAGACGAACAGGUGGUUCCAUAAGUCGGAUUGAGCCGCGAUGAGUAGAUCGUCGUCCCAGUACUGCUCCAUGAUUUGUUGCUCCAACAAUAUAUUCUACUCGUCGGUGUUUCUUAAUUAAAUAUAUAAGUAUGAAAUAUAGUUCUUUACCAUUUUUUUAUAUUAUUAGCUAGUGUGUGGCCGGGAAUAGAGGGGAGGAUAAGGGCUCCCUCAAACACCAAUUUAGGGGGUGCCCACCCCAAAAGAGUUAUGCAGGAUAAUUAUUGAUUACUGCAUUUCUGGAAUGACUAGGUAUAAUUUAAAGAGAAUCAAGAUAUUAUUUUUUAUACUUAAUUUACAACAACACUUACAAAUACUGUAAACAUUUUUUUGUUUCCAAUUUUUUUUCUUCAUUAUUGAAGAAAAAAUUGUGGUGUUGUCGGAAUCAUCUUUUUUGAAAGAUAUUUUUAUUGUGAUCACGUCCUCCGAAAACGUGCCUUUUGGGAUCAACAGAUGAGAAGAAUUUCAGUAAGAAAUUUAACAUAGAGUCAGAGAUUGUUACAAUACUAAACAGAUUUCAAAAAAUAAUUUUAACAUUGUUGGUUGUAUGGAACAUCCAGAUGAAUACUAAUUAAAGAUAUUAUACUUAAAAAUUUUUAUUAUAAUGUAUAUAAAAAUAUUCUAAUGAAUAUUUUGACUGUAUUUUUUUAAUUAUAAUUUCUUCAAUCUUUAAUUCUUAAAAUUUUAUAUAAUAAUUAAUUAAAAUAAUAUUUAUUUGCAGCAAAACGCAAGUCUAAUACUAGUCCACUUUAAAGGGUGUAUAUGGUACGAUAGAAAAAGGAUCGAUUGUGCUGGCAAGGAUAAAGACAUGAAAAAAAAGAUCGUAGGAGAGCUCUGUAUCCAAUCCCUUCUCUUUGGGCCAUCUUUUCUUAUGCAUGCAUCGCGCGUUCAUCUUUCCUUUCUUCCAAGCAAGCCGCCUAUAGAAGGAUUAAUCUGCUGUGCUUUUUGGCUUUCGUUGAUUAUUAUACCGGAGAGUGAUGUUCCCGGGCAAGCCAUUAAUUAUUUAAUUAGUUAAUCAAUUAUAAAAAUAAAUCAAUUAUUAUGUAAAUACUUAUUAAUUUAAUUAUUUAAUAAUUAAUUAGCUAAUUAUUUAAAAAUUUUAAUUAUAUUAAUUAAUAAUAUUUUAUAAUGAUUUAUAAUUUAAUUAGUACAUAAAUAAGAUAGAGGAUAAUUUAUUCUAUUUAAUAGGCGAAACUACUAUUUUUCUCUCUUACCAGGUGAUUUCAAAAUAAUCCAUUAAGGCUGCGUUUGGUUACAGGAUUUAAUAGGAAUAACACAUUUUAUUCUUGCAAUUCUGCCAAGCAUAAGUAAAAUUGGAAGGGAUAUUUACACUACUACAGGUACAAGAUUUAGUGGCGACAAAUGUUGCCAUCAUAGCCAAAAUUGUCGCUACGAAAAACGUUUUGGCGGCGACAAUUUGUCGCCGCAUGCCGCUGCCUAAAAUUCCGUCGGUAAAACUAUUUGGUGGCGACAUAUAGUCACCGCGAAAAGUUAGAUAAUUAGCGGCGACAUACUGUCGCCGUCAAAACUUUAAAUAAUUAAUUUUAUGUCUACUUUUAUGGUGGCGACUAUUGUCGCCACCAAUUUUUUGAUCUAAAAUUAAUUUUUUUAAAAAAAUAAUUAGUAGUAAUAGAUAUUAUUAAUUUACUAUAAAAAUUUUAAUUGCUCUCAUUCUUAACUUUUAACCUUUAAUUUCAAUUUAAUCCUCUCAAAACCAAAUUAAAUCCAAGCACAUGGCUCAAACACCUUAGAACCAAUAUAUAUUAAAUCUAGUUGAAUCUCUAUAAAGUAUUUGAUCAUAAAAUUAAUCCACACAAAUAAGUAAGACUGAAUCAAAUUUUAAAUAUUAAGAAGAGUACAAAUAAUCAUAUAAGGCAAAUAAGUAACUUAAAUUGUCUCACAAGAACCAUAUUAGAGUAUCAUUGUCAUCUUAUACAAUCACCCAACACAUCCACAAAAUAAAAAACAAUAAUAGUGUUUUUGUCAUUUCUACAUGCUAUCAAAUAUAAAUUUAUCAAAAUAUGUCUAAAUUCUUAAAUUUGAUUCAAUACGUCACGAAAAUACUGCCAAAAUAUUUCUCGUCACACCUCUUAUAAAUCUGCAAAUAAAAAUAAAAAAAAAUUAGCUUUUCAACAUUUGUUGAUCCCUAAAUUGAUGACGGAAAUAAUAUAAGAAUAAAAAGACCAAGUACAUAGAUAACAAUGUCGGCUAUGAAUAAUAUAACAGACAGAAACCAACAUUAAUUCAAUUCACGUAUCCAUGUAUAACUACAAUGGUUAAACAUGUCAGGCAAUAUGGCAUCAAUGAUUCCAGAAGGCAACAACAAAAAAAAUAAGCUUAUCAGGAUGUAGACAAUAUGCUUACCAGGAUGUAGACAUCUCGGCCCUGCAUAAAAAAUACAAGAACAAUUAUGAUAUAAAAAGACGAAAAGGGUUCAUUUCAAACGAUCAAAUAAUUGAGGGGUCCUCAGCAUUUUCAAUCUCCAUAUCAAUUAUGUAUUCUCCAGAGAAAAAAUAACUGUUCAUCUAUAAGCAUAACAUUUCUAAAUGUAACGAGGAAAAAGAAAUUCAUAGGAGGGCACAGAUGUCAAUCAAAAGGCAACAAAGAAAACAUUCCAAAGGCCAGCAAAUUCAACGACUAUAAUAUCAAUGCUUUUACUAGAAUAGAUGUCAGACAUCUUACGUUCAAAAUAACAUCCAGUUGUAAAGAUUACAAUUACAAUAUUAUUUUCACGGGCUUUAAAAACAAAAGCUAUCAUUCUUUGAGUAAAAUACAAACUUGCCAAAACUUCUAUUGGUACAUAUCAUAAUCACUAGCGACGCCAGAUCCAGAUCAUAAAUACAAUCAAAUCAAACUGUAGCAGAAGGUGGACAAGUGGGUAGUUUGGGUUGGGAACUAAAAAAGGGGGUUGGCUCAUGAUUCUAGUUUGAAGAAACUAGGUAGGAAAAGAUAAACAACAGAGUAAUAAGCUUAAGCACAAGGUAAACCUUUUAACAACCAUAGGAUUACACCUAUCACAAUAUCGACAACUGCAUAAAUGCACUGGGUUUCACCUAUCUCGAUAUUGACAACUGCAUUAAUGUUUGUAAACCAAAACUAAUGCACGAAGGGAUUGAAUGAGGCAGACAAGAUAAACAGUCAAUAAUUGCUGAACAUGGAAGUUCCAUUCAAAUAACUGUAAAACAGAAAUAAUUGCUGAACAUGGAAGUUCGAUAAUUGCUUAGUGCAGUAUAAAUCAACUUAGUCUACAAUGCAAACUCAACAUUAGAGGAAAGAACCGAUGAAAGUUCCGAUAGAUCAGCUACCUCAAUAGAACUGUCCGUGUCUGGAGAAGGAAGAGGAGGAAGAGGAGGAAGAAGAAGAAGGGUAAAUACGUCAAUUCACACUAUAAUUAACCAUGGUUAAGUAUUUUAACCGUGGUUAACGAAAAUUUUCUACCAGAUCUGGACGGCAGGGACAUAUCUGCAUAACUUAGGACUUUUGUAGAGACAACUUAUGGAGUUUCCGUUUUGCAGAAAUAUUUUCACAAUUCACUAUGUUUGUAGGGACGUGUAUACAAAUAACCCUAUUAUUAAUAGUAGUAAAAGGUAAAUAAACAAAAGUCCAUACUAUUUUAUCCAACAAUCACAAUUCAUAACAAGCUCCAAGUCCAACUAAAAGUUCACCUCGAAAGAAAUUUCAUUUUAAGGAAACACUUCAAUAACUGAUCGAAGUCCAAGCGUGGCAGCAAUCUUAUAAUCACUGAACCCCGCCUCAGUGAAUAUUUUGCACCAUUCCUGCUCAUCUCUCUCGCGUCCCCCGGUCAGGAUCAUCAUCCACACGUCGAAGAAGUGCUGCAUCUCCGUCGACUUCUCUUCCGGGCUCGACCCUAUCACCUGCUCCACGACGAUCACCUUCCCUCCGGCCUCUCUCGAUGGGAUCGCCUCCUUGCACUUCUGCAGUAUCCUCACGCAAACUUCAUCGUCCCAGUCAUGCAGAAUCCACUGUGAUCAUCAGUUUAUUUUGUGAAGUGCCAACAACUUAACUAUAUAUAGAGUGUUCUAAUUAACCAAAAUUGUAAAAUCCAAUAUAAACAUAUAUCCUAAGUAACCACCAUUUAGAGUAGCUAGUUGUUACUCUGAAGACUGUACUUAAAGUCGAUUAGGAGGCUCGAAAUUUCACUCAUGCGUAUCAAACAAAAGAGCUUUGAGUUCCCAACUUCUCGGAUUACAAGUAGUAUUAAUUUUGCAGUAGUUUGGUAGUGGAAAGAAAGCAGGAGCGGAAUUUUAUUUUGACCUUCAACAUCACAGCAUCCGCCGGAGGAACGCGCUCGACCAUGCUGCCCGCGACAAAGUCAACGGGCCCGUCGAUGGUUCCUAGGGGAACUGAGAACAACGGGCCCGUCGAUGGUUCUGAAACAAUCUGUUAAAAAUUGUUCUAAGGAAACUGAGAACAACUUUGUUCUUCUCUUUAUUUUACUAGAUAAAUAGAUAUAUAAAUAAAUAUAUUAAUAUAAAUAUUAUUUUUAUGAUAAUAUAUUUAUACUUAAAUUUUAUUAUAUAAUAUAAAUUAAUUAAAUUUGAUAUAUUAUUUAUUUUAUUAUGUUUUAUUAUUUAUAUAUUAAUAUUUAAUUAUUUUUUUAUAUUCAGUAUUAUAUAUAUAAUUAUUUUUUCAUGCAUUAUAUAUUUUUUAAAAUUUGUAUUGAAAUUUAUACUAUUAUUAAUUAAAAUUAUAAGAAUAUCUCUACAUAUAUUAUAAAUAAAUUAUAUAAAAUAAAUUGUUAUUAUAUAUAGUAAAAUAAAUAUACUAUUUUAAAUUAAAUUGUUACAUAAAAUAUUAUAUUAUAAAUUACUAUAAGAAAUAAUUUAUAAAUAAUUUUAUAUAAAAUAUACUAAUAUAAAUUAAUUAUUUUAUUUUUAAAAAAUAUUUAAACAUUGUUCUACACUUUUUAUCCAAACGCUAAUAAGGAUAUUCUCUAGAAUAUUUCCGAAUGCAUUCAAAUAUAAAUUUAUAAUUGUUCUUUCUCCAAAACUUAGUUCUCUAACCAAACGCACUCUUAGGAGUAUAUUAGAAAUAGAUUGGAACGUAAAAAAAAGUAUUUUCAAUAUUAGUCUUGUAAGAGGACUAAAUCAGAAAGUCAGAAAUUUUUCAGAAAUAUAUAGAUAAUUGCCGCUAAUUAAAAAUACAAUAGUUAUAAUUAUAUGCAUUUUAUUUGAUUUGAUAUAGUAGAAUAGUUAUAAUUAGAAAUAAUUUGUUUAGUUACAUACAAUUCAAAUAAUAAUGUUGGUUAACAGCAGCUUAUUCACCUUUAACAUCACGGCAUCCGCCGGAGGAACGCGCUCGAACAUGCUGCCCGCGAUAAAUUCCACGGGCCCGUCUGCCGGCAGUCCCUGGACCACCUGAGGCAGAUCGAGAACCACACACUUGACGUCCGGAAAUGCCUCUACUAUGGUGCGGGCGGCAGCGCCGGUCCCCCCACCGACGUCAACCAGUGACCGCAGCCCGCAAAAGACAUGCCCGCAUUUCCUGACGACCACGUCCAUUAUGAACCUCCCGUCCGCCGCCAUGCCCUCGUUGAACGCCGCGUUGAACUCCGGGUUCCGGCUCGUCAAGCCCCAGAUAUUGCUUCCGUACAGCGCCUCAAAUGGCGUCGCGAUGCCGUCGGCUUCUUUAAACCAGUCGCCUAAGCGCAGCGACGGCGCCAUCAUCACCGGGUCGAACAUCGAGCGCACAAACGGCGCGAGGCUGCGGCGGCCUCCGGCGUCGUCGACGAGCAGGCGGGACGUCGGCGUGAGGCCGUACAAAUCCUCCUCCUCCCCGCCGGCGGCGGCUUCCGACGUCUG